rnacentral:ncRNA from 1 species
UUGGUGCAUCCAGAGCGGCUCGCCCGACGCGGUGAGCCCGGCAACCUGCCCGGACCGGCAAGGUGCUUCGCGCAAACCCAGCGCAGAUGUGGCCCAUAGCGGCAACACGAGGUCCAGCC